rnacentral:lncRNA from 1 species
AGUGAGGUAUGAAAUUAAAGAUAAAAUAAUGAAUAAAUUACUUCACGUCGAAUUCAAAGUCAGGACACGGAUUCCAGAGUAGAGGGAAAAAUUAUGGCAGCGGAAGAGAUGGUCAACCAAUCUGUAGGGUUAUUUGCGUCUUUUCAUACAAAUUUAACCCCAAAUUGAUGCGACGGUAGCGGAAGAAGAAGAGAUCGAAA